GUCUACAACCAUACCACCCUGAACACGCCCGAUCUCGUCUGAUCUCGGAAGCUAAGCAGGGUUGAGCCUGGUUAGUACUUGGAUGGGAGUUUGAGAAGUUCUUUAUAGAUC
ensembl:rRNA 5S_rRNA 5S ribosomal RNA